UACGUAGGGUGCGAGCGUUAAUCGGAAUUAUUGGGCGUAAAGCGUGCGCAGGCGGUUAUUUAAGUCAGGUGUGAAAGCCCUGGGCUUAACCUAGGAAUUGCGCUUGAGACUGGAUAGCUUGGAGUGCGGCAGAGGGAGGUGGAAUUCCACGUGUAGCAGUGAAAUGCGUAGAGAUGUGGAGGAACACCGAUGGCGAAGGCAGCCUCCUGGGCCAGCACUGACGCUCAUGCACGAAAGCGUGGGGAGCAAACAGG
rnacentral:rRNA from 1 species